ACACACACACACACACUCUUCACUGGUGUCUGAUAAUAGAUUUAUUGAGAUAAAGAUGAGUGAUAAUCAGCUGGUCAUGUGAUCUCAACAUAAGAUAUUGACACAUAAGUUACUGCAAAAACAUGAAUAAAUAAUGAAUAAAUGAUUAGUUAAAUGUGUAAAUAGAGUCAGUUCAGGUCAUUUAGUGCACAUUUUAACUCUUCAUGAAGUGUGUUGAAGUGUUUGUGUCUCUGCUGGAGUUUGUGUUCACUCGAGUGAAGAGAGGUUUUUGUACGAGUCUUUCAUUAGAUCGUAUCACUGUGGUACACUUUCGGUGGAGGAACUAAACUGGUGCUCGCUGGUCCCACAGAGAAGCCCUCGGUGUCUCUGCUGCGCCCUCUUCUCUGCAGAUCUCUGGAGACUCAGCCGCACUGCUCUGCCUGCUCAGCUCUUACUCUCCACAGGGGCGCAGGUGAGCUGGACGCUGGACGACUCAGAGGUCACCGAGGGGUCGUGACCAGCGCAGAGAGCGAGCGGGACGGCCUCUACAGCCGCAGUAGCGUCCUGACCCUCAGCAAAGCACGCUGGGAAAAGGGAGAGAAGUACGUCUGCAGAGUAACACAUGAUGGAGCUUCUCGUGACGUCUCGUUCCACAAGAGUCGCUGUUAGUCGCUCGCAGUGCUGAUGUUUCUCUCCUGAAGAUGAGCCGUAUCUGAGUGUCCUGUGUCAGGCAGGAUUCACGUGAGUCUAGUGCUGCAGCUGUAGUCAUUUACUGUAACUCAAGACUGAAAGAGAGCUCUAGUGUCAAAGCACUGGCUGAUCUUUCAAUCUGCUGUGUUUGCUGCAACAUUCAAUAAAGCUUCUCAACAAGC